CCAUAUUUAGGAAUCUCUCAUCGUUCUCAAAUUUUUUUACUAACUUGAAGUCCUUGCAAUGAAUUGCAUAUGUGAACUGGACUUCCGAUAUCUCAUUGAAGUAAAAUUUUAGUGUAGGGGUAAAACGAUAAUUUUAAAAUUUUUUCAAAUUUAUAAUUUUACAGUGAAAAUUAUUAAUUAAUCUAAUUAACUAACAUGUAUUAACUCUACACAAGGAUCUAAAUAU
rnacentral:lncRNA from 1 species